AACGAACGCUGGCGGCAGGCCUCAAACAUGCAAGUCUAGGGGGUGUAGCAAUACAUCACCGGCGGACGGGUGCGUAACGCGUGGGAAUAUACCUAUUGGUUCGGAACAACUGAGGGAAACUUCAGCUAAUACCGGAUACGUCCUUACGGAGAAAGAUUUAUCGCCAAUAGAUUAGCCCGCGUUCGAUUAGCUAGUUGGUGGGGUAACGGCCCACCAAGGCGACGAUCGAUAGCUGUUCUGAGAGGAAGAUCAGCCACACUGGGACUGAGACACGGCCCAGACUCCUACGGGAGGCAGCAGUUGGGAAUCUUGGACAAUGGGGGAAACCCUGAUCCAGCCAUGCCGCGUGAGUGAUGAAGGCCUUCGGGUUGUAAAACUCUUUCGUCGCACGACGAUAAUGACGGUAGUGCGAGAAGAAGCUCCGGCUAACUUCGUGCCAGCAGCCGCGGUAAU
rnacentral:rRNA from 1 species